CAUUAUCAAACUGGCAAAUUAUCACAUUAACGCUUUUCAUCGUGGAAAUGUUCCCCUGUUUUGGAUUUUGAUUAUAUUAGCCAGCGUAACUCAGCCACUAGCUAGCUGUAUUCUGUUCUCCCAUUUCAGAUGAUAAUUUUAUUACUCCAAUAUUUUUUGGGGUUAUGUGGACAAUAUAAAGUUGUUUUGUACCGUGAACACUAACUUUUCCUACUUCGUUUCUGAGAAAUCCGUCGAGUUUGGUCGGUAAUUUAGUCGUAGUGCGUAGUGUAAAGUACUACAAUACCCAUGAUCCUUAGAUGCUGUUAUCGAGAUACGGCCUAUACGCCAGUCAUGGAUGUGUUCGUAACGAGUAAGAUCCGUAACGAACAGAAAACGCUUUGUUAUUAAAGGUAUGCGUAUACAUUCCUAAACCUAAAGUUUUCUAAUGCACCCAUGGGGGAUUCACUAAUUAAAACAGAAAACGUUACGUGUAGUUAGUGAAAUACGUUUAAUUACGGCGUAAUGCUUAUUCCCCGCCGUAAGCGGGUCACAUGACCGAAUUUUAAGAUCAAUGAUUGGGUCUUGUUCUUAAACGUCACAUAGAGAGUCGCAGUUAAAUUAUGGUCGUGUCUACGUCUCAACGUUUUAUUAAAAUAAUAAUUAAACAGACAGAUAAGGGAUUACUUAUAUUAUUUUGCUUUUAUAUUUACUGUUGGAUUAGUUAUUUUGCUUUCCCUAUACUUCUUUUCCAAGUAUGAAUUUACCAUUUUUAGGUUUGACUCUUGAUAUCUCCUUGUUUCCAGGCUUUACUGUCAUAUUGGAGAUACUGGAGAUAUGGUGAAACACAGGACAAGUGUGCGAUCUACGAAACAUAGAGUAUGUGUUCGUCGGAGGAUCAUUGGUGGUGCUACCAAAGUUUCUGUUUUGAGAAACGUUUCACAUCCACCUGUAACUGUGGAUGUUACACCUGUCACCACCACAUCAUCUCUGGAUGAACAUUCAGAGGCAGAACCAAGCAGCAGUUGCAUGUCCGAGACUGCUUACACAAAAGCAAAGAAGAAGGAGCUCAGGGCCUGGGACUCAUUGAAGGAGGAUAUGCUGCGGGUAUCUUAUGAGUCAUCAGCACCAUCUACAAAUAUCUGUGCUCUCUGCAAAGAGCAUGCAGAGAGUAGGUGCCUUGAGUGCAGCAGUACUAAUAUGUUUUGUGAGACCUGUAUCACAAAAACCCACCGCAAUUCCUUGCACCUACCAGAGAAAUGGAAUAAAACAUUGUAUGUGACAUCUCCACUUGAAUUAGCACUACGCUUACCAGGAGAACAUUGUUCUCAUGCUGUGUACGCAAGAGAUAUGAAAAUAUUUGUGAACACAGGCCAGUUGUGCAGCUUCAGCGUGACUCUUUGUACAUGUGAACCAGAAACUUGCACCCUGCUCAGAUAUGGAAUCUGGCCUGCGACACCAGAGAGGCCUCAAACAGCGUUCUCUAUAGCUCUUUUGGAGCUUUUUCAUUAUCUGUCCAUGGAAUGCCAGGUAUCUGUUGAGGGAUUCUGCAAUAUGUUGCGGUGGAAAAACAAUCUGUCUCUUUCAGAGGUUAACAUGCUCUACAGAGCUCUGGUGGGAGAAUCUAUAUCCCAGUUUCGCCACCACCACUUUAGAUGCAGAAGUUUAUCUGGUCUUUGUCCCUCAUUUGAUGAUGGAACAACAUGCCCAGUAUGUCCUAAGAGUAACGGCAAUCUGAUUGUAACAAUGGAUGCCAACUUUGGCCUUGUUCGAAAAAGAAGUUCAGGAAGUAGUUUGGUGGAGCCGUUGCAUGGUAACAGAAUGUUUGUGAGGGAAGAAGAUGUGCAAGAAUACCUGUCAUCCCAUCCUGAUGGUUCCAAGCCAAAUGAAGACUGUAGUAAUUUCAAGGCAGGGAACCUGCUUCGUUCUCAAAAAAACCAACAAAAACUAGAUGUAACAGGGGUGUUUGGAGUCUCUUGCCGCCAUGAGAUUCCGUUGGUGUUUUUGAACAUGACCCAGGGAGAACGGCUAGCAUAUCCAAUGUAUAUAAUCAAAGAACUCCUAACAAGGAAUCAGGGCAAGAACCUGAAUCUGUAUGUCAUAUAUGACAUUGCAUGUGUACUUUCAUCACACAUGCAUGUGAGUAUGUUAUCACUAAAAAUGGGCACAAAUUACUUUUGUCUAAUUUAUUUUUGUUAUUAGUCUUUUGAUACUUUAACAUAAAGGGUUAUACAUAAAACAAUUAUGUUUGAGUUCAGUGUGCUGUAAGUGUCUUCAUAGGUUCUGUACAGUACGAGAAGAUUAAAAGGCUUUGGGCUAACAGAUGGAGAAGGUAUGGAGAGGUUAUGGUCCUUCCUUAGAAGAUUUGCUCGUGUCACAAAAGAGAUGAGUCCAUCCCACCGGCUUGACCUCUUGACUGAAGUACUUCUUUAUUAUGGGAGGAGAAAAUCAGCUGAUAUAGAAGUGCAGCUCGAUCACAGAUGGGAAAAAGCAGAGAAGGUCACUAAUCUAGCUAAAGAGGAGUUAGCUGCUGUCUUAAAAGAGGCACCAGCGAGUGUUUCAGAGCACAAUGUACAGAGAUGAAUGGAAACGGAGAACGAAGUUGCUAGAUUGACAGUUUUGAAAACCAAAAUAGCAGACAGUGUUCCCAAAUGGAAGAGGGUGUAUGUGACAACGCUGAUUGAGCUCCAGCAGCUCAAUGAACACUGUUAGAGCUCGACCAGGACAUUCGAGGUAAACUGGUCAUGCAGGCACGAACUGAGGCAAGGGAAAGACUUACACUUCUUCAAUUGAAGCGGAAAUACCCAGAUGGACAGGGAAUUGCUGUCAGAUUGUCUAAACAAAUUAAGGCCUGUAACAAGAGACUGAGGAAAACCAUAACAGAUUACAACAGUCUGCAAUGGCCACCACAGACAACCAUCUUCCCACCACAGAUGGAUUUUCAAGAAGCAUGUGAUCCCUUCUGGCCUGUCUACUGUAGCAUUGAUGAAAAUACAGAGGAAGGAGACUUUUCACGAUCCCUCAAAAGACGUGCCAUUGAUGCAUUGCACCUGAAGACCAGGGCUGCUGAGGAGAAGAUCAUGCUUCAGGAUGAAAUGAAGACUUUAAUACAUCAUGUUCAGCAACAACAUGCUUCUUUACACUCAGCUAUUACUAAUACCAAGCAACCUGGCCGAGCUGUUCUUGUUGGCACCAUUAUAAACUUGGAACAGAAACUACAUAAUGCUACCUUGAUGUUCCAGCAACACAUUCCAAGUAUUGCUCCUCUUUCACACGCUUACCUGCCACAGUUGAAUGUAGUCCGCCAGAACGUGAUAUCACCGGAUGUGUACAUGGCUUUAUUCAACGACGAUGAUGAUGAUGAUGAAGAUGGUAAUGAUGAUGAUGAGGAGGAUUGUGAUGAUAGCAUUUAAAGCUAAAAUAAAAUGCAGAUUCAUCCAACACAGAAUCUAAAAUGACAAACUUGUAAAUAUGCAAGCAGGAUUGUGCAAAUGUACUUAUUUAGGUAUUCCUAAAGCCUGUGUUUUGUGAAAGUGUAUGAAAUAAAAAGAGUUUAAAAGAAGAGAAUAAAUGUUUUUGUCUUUUUAAAUGGUAAAUGUGCUACAAGAAUAAGGUUAUUUAGUUAUGAUGGUUGGGGUUAAGGGCUAAGGAAUGCAUAUGCACAUGAUGUGUUCACAU